rnacentral:rRNA from 1 species
UACCGAGGGGGCAAGACGUUGUUCGGGAAGUUAUUGGGCGUUAAAGGGUCGGCGUAGGCGGUUUUGGUUAAAGGUCUUGUGGUGAAAUUCUUCAGGCUCAACUUGAAAGACUCGCACGAGAAACUGGCAGGGCUUGAGUGUGGGAGAGGUGAGUGGAAUUCCGUGGUGUAGCGGUGAAAUGCGUAGAUAUCAGGAGGAACACCUGUGGCGAAAGCGGCUCACUGGACCACAACUGACGCUGAUGCACGAAAGCUAGGGGAGCAAACAGGA